UACGGGAAGGCAGCAGUGGGGAAUAUUGCACAAUGGGCGAAAGCCUGAUGCAGCUAUGCCGCGUGUAUGAAGAAGGCCUUAGGGUUGUAAAGUACUUUCAUCGGGGAGGAAAAACAAAACUAAUAAUUUUAUUUCUUGACGUUACCCGAAAAAGAAGCACCGGCUAACUCCGUGCCAGCAGCCGCGGUAAUACGGAGGGUGCUAGCGUUAAUCAGAAUUACUGGGCGUAAAGAGCACGUAGGUGGUUUUUUUAGGUCAGAUGUGAAAUCCCUGGGCUUAACCUAGGAACUGCAUUUUGAAACUGAAAUACUAGAGUAUCGUAGAGGGAGGUAGAAUUCUAGGUGUAGCGGUGAAAUGCGUAGAUAUCUGGAGGAAUACCUGUGGCGAAAGCGGCCUCCUAAACGAAUACUGACACUGAGGGUGCGAAAGCGUGGGGAGCAAACAGGGAUUAGAUACC
rnacentral:rRNA from 1 species